AUUGAACGCUGGCGGCAGGCCUAACACAUGCAAGUCGAGCGGAGCGGCGGACGGGUGAGUAAUGCCUAGGAAUCUGCCUGGUAGUGAGGGAUAACGUCCGGAAACGGGCGCUAAUCCCACAUACUCUCAGAUGAGCCUAGGCCGGAUUAGCUAGUGGGUGGGGUAAAGGCCUACCAAGGCGACGAUCCGUAACUGGUCUGAGAGGAUGAUCAGUCAGACUGGGACUGAGACACGGUCCAGACUCCUACGGGAGGCAGCAGUGGGGAAUAUUGGACAAUGGGCGAAAGCCUGAUCCAGCCAUGCCGCGUGUGUGAAGAAGGUCUUAGGGUUGUAAAGAACGUUAAGUUGGGAGGCGUUACCCACAGAAUAAGCACCGGCUAACUCCGUGCCAGCCGCCGCGGUAAUAC
rnacentral:rRNA from 1 species